rnacentral:sRNA from 1 species
AGAUGGCAACAACGUAGCUAGCUGAAGAACAUCAUUCGAGGAAAGUGGGGUAGAAGCACGCAAUAGUGAUUUAACGGCAGCCUGCACCUUAGGUAGAGAUUGAGUGGAAAACUGUACAUAAGCUUCGGGCUCAGGAUGAAACGAUGCAUCCGCUGCAGCCUUGUAGGCACUGACAUCCCAGCUGGAUUUCCACCCUUCCGCUCCUGCCAUUUCAAUUGCUUUGCGAACUUUCAGAUUAUUCUUUAGCAGAUAUAUCAUGGCAUCAUGCUCAGAAAUCUCAGGAAUGCAUGUAAGCAAUAGCUUGAUAAGGCCACGAAGGGACCGGGACUCCACACGAACAAAGGUGGAGGUGCAGAUCAUGUCCACCUCAAGUUUCUCCAUAGCAGGGAAAGUAGAGUCAUACCAGAGAGUGUUGACGAUGAUGUUGGUCACACAACUGAAUGGGCCAUAGCAGUAACCACCGUUGACAAGGGCACGGUGGUAAGUGGUAACGAGCCCGAACAUCUUGCAUAGGUAAUCGAGAGAUUGCCUUGAGGUACUUGGCAUGAAUCUUGUCAAGUAGAACAGCCCGAAGUGAUAUUGUCAAACCACCUGGCACCUUCUCACAAUUAGCAUCACCACUAGCAUUAGCAUCGGUAUGGCAGUUACGAAGCCGCCCAUUCCAGACAGCAACAAGAUCUUCUCAACAGACAAUACAUAGCUGCGAUCUGCUAGCACGGUCUGGGUGACGAAUUCAAGAUGAGACGCCAGCGAAAACGAACCAGCAAUGAAGCCGUCGACGUCAGGCUGCCUCGCCGAUGAUGCUGCGCAUGUAAGGGCAGCCCUGGCAGCGUAGGAGGAGAUGUGGAACCGUUCAUCCUUGGUGUUGUAGCAGCGAUCAAGCUCGAUGAGGCGGACGGCGACGAGGAGGUCGGCGUUGGCGAGGCACAGGUAGCGGAGCGCAUCCCAGGUGGGGAGGUAGCGGAAGUAAGAUGUGAGGAAGGUGAUGAGGCCCUCCAGCGAUCGCUCGGCGAUGGUUCGUGUCUCCGGCGGAGGGGAGGGGGCGUCGCCGGCGGCAUCCGACCUCGCUGCUGCCGAUGGCGUCUUGAUGCUUGCCUUGCGCUUGUGCUUCUUGGCCCGGUGAUCGGGAUCAGGCUUGUCGGGGAGGAAGGAGGAGAGGGUGUUGGCGAUGAUGUUGGUGGUAGGGUCGCCGAAGCCGAAGCAGACGCCGGCGCCAACGAGGCGCGGGGCAAGCUCCGGCAAGUCGUCGAGCGGCAGCACGGCGAGCGCCUCCUUGUAGUAGCCGUGGAUGGUGCCCAAAAUCACGGAUCGGUUGUGGGCG